GAAUAAGGGGUGGGUAAGGACGGUGCCAGCCGCCGCGGUAAUACCGGCGCCUCAAGUGGUAGUCGCUUUUAUUGGGCCUAAAACGUCCGUAGCCGGUCUGGUGCAUUCGUGGGUAAAUCAACCCGCUCAACGGGUUGAAUUCUGCGAGCACGGCCAGACUUGGGACCGGGAGAGGUGUGGGGUACUCUCAGGGUAGGGGUAAAAUCCUGUCAUCCUGAGAGGACCACCUGUUGCGAAGGCGCCACACUAGAACGGAUCCGACGGUCAGGGACGAAACCUAGGGGCACGAACCGGAUUAGAUACCCGGGUAGUCCUAGGUGUAAACGCUGUGGACUUGAUGUUGGGGGCGCUCCGAGCGCUCUCAGUGUCGAAGCGAAGGUGAUAAGUCCACUGCCUGGGGAGUACGGUCGCAAGGCUGAAACUUAAAGGAAUUGGCGGGGGAACACCGCAACCUGAGGAUUGUGCGGUUUAAUUGGAUUCAACGCCGGAAAACUCACCAGUGCCGACGGACAAAUGAAAGCCAGGUUAACGACUUUGCUGGAUUGUUCGAGAGGUAGUGCAUGGCCGCCGUCAGUUCGUACCGUAAGGCGUUCUGUUAAGUCAGA
rnacentral:rRNA from 1 species